GACAAAUUGGCGCCAUUUUGAAGCCGAGAGGAGGAUCACAGCCGUAGAGGGAAAGACGAUUGGCUACAAUUCAUCAAAUAAGGAUCGACAGUGCCGAGGUUGGACCACAGUGAGAACGAGGAUAUCACAGUCAUGAAGAGUCUGGCUGCACAGGACGACGACAGCAAGCCCUGCAGGUGACGCAAACAACGGACAGCCGCUUACAGCGAGGACGACAAGGCAGGCCAGGAGGCCAAGCCCAAACGUGGGGGAGGAGCCGUGGGAGACACCACCCUGGAAAUGAAAGACGAACAGAACAAUCAUCCGAAAAGAGGUCGCAGGAGACGGCCCCCAAGGUACCAUUUUGUUUUUUGACCCCGGUUGCCUUAUUUUAAUGGGGAAGUUCAGGAUUUUACACCUUAAUUUUUAGUGGCCCAUAGACAAAUACAGUGUGAGGAACCAUCUUUAUCAAGUUGUAAAAUCCUGAACUUACCGCUUAAUGGUUGCUAUCCAACUUAUCUUCAACACAGCUCACAUAAUUUAUCAGAUCUCACAAUACUCAGAGAAGUGUUUAUACAGACCAUCUUUAUAGCGCCACUGCUAUAAAGAUGGUCUGGAAUGCAACCAAUGUUUACAACAAGACUGUGGGUCUUGUUGCGGUUGUUUGAUCUGUUCUUGUACUUAAUACUUUUACUCUAUAAAGUGUUCAUGGAAGUUAGUUGUAAUAAAAUGUAUUAUUAUGAUCAAUAUUGAGGCUGCUGUGCAUAAUAAUGACACACUUACCAAGGACAUGAGGGGCCGGAAGAAGGCUGCUUGUCAAGCUUAGGAGGAAGAGGAGCAGGGGGAGGAGGAAGAUGGCAGCAGUGAGAACAUGGAAGUGAAGCCCACGGUGCAGAGAGGAGGCAGGGUACCACGGAGGUCGCAGCAGAGACUGGAGGCCACAGACGACUGCAGAAUCCACGCCACAGAAAAGAUGGGGGAGACCUCCCAAAGCACAGCAACAUACAGCCAUGAAAAAUAUGCACACAGGACGUUUGAGUAAAGAGAACGAGUCCGAGGUGGAGGAGAUGGAGAUGUCUCGGAGCCAGGAAGAGGAGGAGAGCAAGACCACAACCAAAGUGCGAUGGAAGAUGGGCAGGAGAAGAUGAGACGGAGAUCAUGUUUUUUUCUCCAAGGUCAGGAGGCCCGUGACCACGAGGACAAGAACAAGAACAGAUGGAGAGGAGCUGUACAUCGAUCGCCUAGGCGAUUUGCAUUUUAUUGUGCAUGUGCAAAGGUGCCUCUGUGACAAAUCCAAAAUUAAAUCAAGUAUUUGGUCCA